CAGUAAUGGUACGUGUAUCAUUUAAAUAAUGUGGCACAAUUUUUUUUCCAGCCUCGAAUAACCUUCUUCAUGUUACUUCCACUUCCCAAAUACCUACAUCUGCAAAAAUAUCAGAGACAGAGACUGCUACCGAGGAGCCAGGCCUGAAAUUCACAUCUCUUCCCUCCAUGGAAACCAGAGAGAGCGUGAUGGCUUUUGAUGAAAAGCAGCCUAUUUCUUCAAGAUCUGAAACAUCUGGCAUCCAAGAAAUGCUGUCAGCUGUACCUGCUUUCACAAUGUCGGUCCUGGAGUCAACCUCUUUUCCUUCUCUGGAAACCACAAGAAAAA